UAGGGAAUCUUCCACAAUGGACGCAAGUCUGAUGGAGCAACGCCGCGUGAGUGAAGAAGGUUUUCGGACCGUAAAGCUCUGUUGUUGGUGAAGAAGGAUAGAGGUAGUAACUGGCCUUUAUUUGACGGUAAUCAACCAGAAAGUCACGGCUAACUACGUGCCAGCAGCCGCGGUAAUACGUAGGUGGCAAGCGUUGUCCGGAUUUAUUGGGCGUAAAGCGAGCGCAGGCGGAAGAAUAAGUCUGAUGUGAAAGCCCUCGGCUUAACCGAGGAAUUGCAUCGGAAACUGUUUUCUUGAGUGCAGAAGAGGAGAGUAGAACUCCAUGUGUAACGGUGGAAUGCGUAGAUAUAUGGAAGAAUACCAGUGGCGAAGGCGGCUCUCUGGUCUGCAACUGACGCUGAGGCUCGAAAGCAUGGGUAGCGAACAGGAUUAGAUACCCUGGUAGUCCAUGCCGUAAACGAUGAGUGCUAAGUGUUGGAAGGCUUCCGCCUCUCAGUGCUGCAGCUAACGCAUUAAGCACUCCGCCUGGGGGAGUACGACCGCAAGGUUGAAAC
rnacentral:rRNA from 1 species